rnacentral:misc_RNA from 1 species
AAGUCGUAACAAGGUUUCCGUAGGUGAACCUGCGGAAGGAUCAUUAACGAACAAAAGAUUUACUUGCUUAAAUCUUUUGGGAUCAACCAAAAACCUGUAACAAAAAUAGUAGUAUUCAAUACACUAUACACUAUAUACAUUAUAAAUAAAUAUUACAAAACUUUCAACAACGGAUCUCUUGGCUCUU